UGGCUCAGUGUUUAGAGCAUGGUGUGUGCAACGCCAGGGUUGUGGGUUCGAUUCCCAC
rnacentral:tRNA from 1 species